GUCUCUAUAGCUCAACUGGACAGAGCGGUCGCCUCCUAAGCGACAGGCUGGGGGUUCGAUUCCUCCUAGGGACA
rnacentral:tRNA from 1 species